rnacentral:rRNA from 1 species
UACGUAGGUGGCAAGCGUUGUCCGGAAUUAUUGGGCGUAAAGCGCGCGCAGGCGGUCCUUUAAGUCUGAUGUGAAAGCCCACGGCUCAACCGUGGAAGGUCAUUGGAAACUGGGGGACUUGAGUGCAGAAGAGGAAAGUGGAAUUCCAAGUGUAGAGGUGAAAUUCGUAGAUAUUCGCAAGAACACCAGUGGCGAAGGCGACUUACUGGACUGUAACUGACGCUGAGGCAUGAAAGCGUGGGGAGCAAACAGG